rnacentral:tRNA from 6 species
GGGUGAUUAGCUCAGCGGUAGAGCGCUUCGUUCACAUCGAAGAUGUCAGGGGUUCAAAUCCCUUAUCACCCACCA